rnacentral:rRNA from 2 species
CCGCUGAACUUAAGCAUAUCAAUAAGCGGAGGAAAAGAAACUAACAAGGAUUCCCCUAGUAACGGCGAGUGAAGAGGGAAAAGCCCAAAUUUGUAAUCUGGCUCUUUUUAUAAGGGUCCGAGUUGUAAUUUUGAGAACUGUUUUCUGUGCUGGACCAUGUACAAGUCUGUUGAAAAACAGCAUCAUUGAGGGUGAAAAUCCCGUACAUGAUAUGGACUACCAGGGCAAUAUGAUACAGUCUCUAAGAGUCGAGUUGUUUGGGAAUGCAGCUCAAAGUGGGUGGUAAAUUCCAUCUAAGGCUAAAUAUAGGUGAGAGACCGAUAGCAAACAAGUACCGUGAGGGAAAGAUGAAAAGAACUUUGGAAAGAGAGUUAACAGUACGUGAAAUUGCUAAAAGGGAAACAGUUAAAGUUAGACUUGUUAUUGUUGGAUCAGCUUCUUUAUUGAGGUGUACUCUGAUGAUUAACAGACCAGCAUCAAUUUUUGAGUGUUGGAUAAGGGUUUUGGGAAUGUGGCAGCUUUGGUUGUGUUAUAGACCAUUACUUUGAUACAAUGCUUAGGAUUGAGGAACGCAGUAAGCUUUGUUGCAGA